rnacentral:rRNA from 1 species
UACGUAGGGUGCAAGCGUUAAUCGGAAUUACUGGGCGUAAAGCGUGCGCAGGCGGUUUCGUAAGACAGAUGUGAAAUCCCCGGGCUUAACCUGGGAACUGCAUUUGUGACUGCGAGGCUAGAGUGUGUCAGAGGGGGGUGGAAUUCCACGUGUAGCAGUGAAAUGCGUAGAGAUGUGGAGGAACACCGAUGGCGAAGGCAGCCCCCUGGGAUAACACUGACGCUCAGGCACGAAGGCGUGGGGAGCAAACAGG